rnacentral:rRNA from 1 species
GACGAACGCUGGCGGCGUGCCUAAUACAUGCAAGUCGAGCGGACUUUCAAGAAGCUUGCUUUUUGAAAGUUAGCGGAGGACGGGUGAGUAACACGUGUGCAACCUGCCUGCAAGACGGGGAUAAUUCCGGGACACCGGGGCUUAUACCGGAUAAUCUCCUCCUUCGCAUUAAGGAUGGUUGAAAUGCGGCGCAAGCUGCUGGUCUCACAUCUGCUCGCGGCGUUUUUGGUAGUUGGUGAGGUAAAGGCUCACGAAGGUGACGAUGCGUAGACGGCCGGAGGGGGUGGGCGGCCGCACUGAGACGGAGACAGGGCCCAGACGCAUACGGGAGGCAGCAGUAGGGAUUCUGCCGGAAUGGGCGAGAGUCUGACGGAGCAGCGCCGCGUGAGCGAAGAGGGACUUCGGAUCGUGAAGCUCUGUUGUCGGGGAAGAAAAAGUACCGUUCGAACAGGGCGGGACCUUGACGGUACCUGACAAGAAAGCAACGGCUAACUACGUG